rnacentral:rRNA from 1 species
AUUGAACGCUGGCGGCAGGCCUAACACAUGCAAGUCGAACGAGUGGCGGACGGGUGAGUAAUGUCUGGGCAACUGCCCGAUGGAGGGGGAUAACUACUGGAAACGGUAGCUAAUACCGCAUACCAUCGGAUGUUCCCAGAUGGGAUUAGCUCGUAGGGGGGGUAACGGCUCACCUAGGCGACGUUCCCUAGCUGGUCUGAGAGGAUGACCAGCCACACUGGAAUGGAGACACGGUCCAGACUCCUACGGGAGGCAGCAGUGGGGAAUAUUGCACAAUGGGCGAAAGCCUGACGCAGCAAUGCCGCGUGUGUGAUGAAGGUCUUCGGGUUGUAAAAUUCUGUCAGUAGGGAAGCGGUACCUACAGAAAAAGCACCGGCUAACUCCGUGCCAGCAGCCGCGGUAAUAC